GGCGCGAUGGCAGAGUGGUUAUGCAGCGGACUGCAAAUCCGUGUACGGCGGUUCGAUUCCGCCUUGCGCCUCCA
rnacentral:tRNA from 1 species